UAUGCACCCUAAAGCACAAACACACGCUGCAUGUAUAUGUAUGUAUAUAUAUAUAUAUAUAUAUAUAUAUAUAUAUAUAUAUAUAUAUAUAUAUAUAUACAUAUACUGCUGUGUGUGUGUGUGUGAGGGUGCUGU